ACUAGAAAACCAUUUUUUUCAUCUCUUACUAUUAAUAUCUUACCAACACCAAUAAUAAGGGGGGUUACACUUUACAUACCUUUUAAUCUUCGUAUGAUUACGGACCUAGAGGAGUGUUCGAGGUCACCCAGACUCCCUCAAAUUUUCAUAUCAAGUGUUUUCCCAUGUUUGCAUGUAGAGGUAAGGAGAUAAGAAUCUACAAGUCUCAUAUUCAAGUUUUGACACCACCUUCCUUGCUAUAAGGACUAGUAGACUGCAUGAUUUAUCUCCUACAUCACCACAUGUUAGUGUGGAUGUUGAGUUGGGGAGUCCACUUUGCACUUUGACCUCAUUGCCACUAUUGAAACUUAGCCAUGGAGUUCCAAUUUUUGCAAUGCCAAGUCUGCAACUGUGGUGCACUUAUAAUGUAACGUAUGCGAUGCUCGAGCAACAAGAUUGUGGUGCAUGAGAAGGAGGUUUGUGGUGCUCGUACCAAUAUGCAUAUUUCAAAUGGCAACGUUUUGGGAUUGGCCCACAAAUAGUAUUAGUGCAACUCUUGUCAUUAUAAAUGAAUCUCAUUGUACAUUUGUAACCCUAAGAAAAAAUUGUGUGUAUGACGAUUGUAUUUCUACAAGUCUAAUAAAAAUCCUUCUUGUGUGUU